rnacentral:tRNA from 1 species
UCCUCCCGGUAGUAUAGUGGUCUGUAUCCCCGCCUGUCACGCGGGAGACCGGGGUUCGAUUCCCCGCCGAGGAG